rnacentral:rRNA from 1 species
AGGACGAACGCUGGCGGCGUGCUUAACACAUGCAAGUCGAGCGGAAAGGCCUUUCGGGGUACUCGAGCGGCGAACGGGUGAGUAACACGUGAGUAAUCUGCCCAUCGCUUCAGGAUAGCCAUCGGAAACGGUGAUUAAUACUGGAUAUGACAUUCCUUCGCAUGUUGGGGUGUGGAAAGUUUUUUCGGCGGUGGAUGUGCUCGCGGCCUAUCAGCUUGUUGGUGGGGUAAUGGCCUACCAAGGCUUUG